rnacentral:rRNA from 1 species
AUUGAACGCUGGCGGCAUGCUUUACACAUGCCAGUCGAACGGCAGCGCGGGCUUCGGCCUGGCGGCGAGUGGCGAACGGGUGAGUAAUGCAUCGGAACGUGCCCAGUAGUGGGGGAUAGCCCAGCGAAAGCCGGAUUAAUACCGCAUACGACCUGAGGGUGAAAGCGGGGGACCGAAAGGCCUCGCGCUAUUGGAGCGGCCGAUGUCGGAUUAGCUAGUUGGUGGGGUAAAGGCUUACCAAGGCGACGAUCCGUAGCUGGUCUGAGAGGACGACCAGCCACACUGGGACUGAGACACGGCCCAGACUCCUACGGGAGGCAGCAGUGGGGAAUUUUGGACAAUGGGGGCAACCCUGAUCCAGCCAUGCCGCGUGCGGGAAGAAGGCCUUCGGGUUGUAAACCGCUUUUGUUCGGGAAGAAAUCCUCUGGGCUAAUACCCCGGGGGGAUGACGGUACCGGAAGAAUAAGCACCGGCUAACUACGUG